GAGAUUGAAGCAAUAAGCAUGAUUGAAUAACUUGCAGUAAGCAGUAAAUAGAUUAAUAAACAGGGGUUCGAAAUCUUCUCUCUCCGGAACAGAGUUUCAGACUUGUCUCCCCAAAAACUCUCAAAAACAAAAAACUCUCUCUAAGAAAAUCUAAGGUUAACGUAAAAAGGGAAUAAAAAUCCUAUAUAUAUCUCUAAGACACGUUUUGGGCUUCCUUGAAAACGUUUGGGCCCAACUCCUUCUUCAAAUAGGAAACAAAAUCGCCUUUUCCUUAUUUCUCUAACAAGUGUCGCGCGUCACUCUCCAUGGUGUCGAGCGUCACUAAAGCACAAAAUCCAUACUUGACGAAUUUGAUCCUGAUUAAGCUCCAAAGUGCUCCAAAGUCUCCAGUUAAGCUCCAAACGUACCUAUGACCUGAAAAGACUCCAAAAGACUCGAAAGACACUAAAAAGACUCUAUAAAUAAGACAUAUACCAUGGUUAAAAACCAUAAAAACCAUGAUAUAUCAACUCCCCCAGACUUAGCAUUUGCUUGCCCUCAAGCAAACAGAACACCAAACAGGAGAAAGAAGUUUGAAAACACAGAGACUCAACCUUUCAUUGGAACAUCGCUUUGACCGUUCACCCUGCAACUUAACUACUGCUUCAUCAUUCCAAAUCGAACCACCAUGUACUUCUCCGCAGACAUUCACAGCUUUCCAGACUAAAUCCAAAAUUUCACAACAUUGUCCAUAAA
rnacentral:lncRNA from 1 species